rnacentral:ncRNA from 1 species
CACGCCGCCGCGGGAGAGCACUCGCUGGUCGCAGCGGGUCGCCGAAGGAGCAACUUCUCCCUCAGAAUCUCUCAGGCCCACGUACCGCAGCGGUCCG